rnacentral:rRNA from 1 species
AGAGUUUGAUCAUGGCUCAGGACGAACGCUGGCGGCGUGCUUCAUACAUGCAAGUCGCACGGUGAACCACUCUUCGGGGUGGGGAUCAGUGGCGAACGGGUGAGUAACACGUGAGCAACCUGCCCUCCGCUCUGGGAUAACCCCGGGAAACCGGGGCUAAUACCGGAUAUGAGCUUCCACUGCAUGGUGGGGGUUGGAAAGUUUUUCGGCGGGGGAUGGGCUCGCGGCCUAUCAGCCUGUUGGUGGGGUGAUGGCCUACCAAGGCGGUGACGGGUAGCCGGCCUGAGAGGGUGAUCGGCCACACUGGGACUGAGACGCGGCCCAGACUCCUACGGGAGGCAGCAGUAGGGAAUAUUGCGCAAUGGGCGAAAGCCUGACGCAGCAACGCCGCGUGGGGGAUGAAGGCCUUCGGGUUGUAAACCUCUUUCAGCAGGGAAGAAGCCUCUGGGUGACGGUACCUGUAGAAGAAGGACCGGCUAACUACGUGCCAGCAGCCGCGGUAAUACGUAGGGUCCAAGCGUUGUCCGGAAUUAUUGGGCGUAAAGAGCUCGUAGGUGGCGUGUCGCGUCUGAUGUGAAAGCCCGGGGCUUAACUCCGGGUCUGCAUUAGGUACGGGCAUGCUGGAGUUCGGUAGGGGAGACUGGAAUUCCUGGUGUAGCGGUGAAAUGCGCAGAUAUCAGGAGGAACACCGGUGGCGAAGGCGGGUCUCUGGGCCGAUACUGACACUGAGGAGCGAAAGCGUGGGGAGCGAACAGGAUUAGAUACCCUGGUAGUCCACGCUGUAAACGUUGGGAACUAGGUGUGGGGAGCAUUCCACGUUCUCUGCGCCGCAGCUAACGCAUUAAGUUCCCCGCCUGGGGAGUACGGCCGCAAGGCUAAAACUCAAAGGAAUUGACGGGGGCCCGCACAAGCGGCGGAGCAUGUGGCUUAAUUCGAUGCAACGCGAAGAACCUUACCAAGGCUUGACAUGCGCGGGAAGUCGGCAGAGAUGUCGGUGCCUUCGGGCUCGCGUGCAGGUGGUGCAUGGUUGUCGUCAGCUCGUGUCGUGAGAUGUUGGGUUAAGUCCCGCAACGAGCGCAACCCUCGUUCUGUGUUGCCAGCGGGUUAUGCCGGGGACUCACAGGAGACUGCCGGGGUCAACUCGGAGGAAGGUGGGGAUGACGUCAAAUCAUCAUGCCCCUUAUGUCUUGGGCUGCACACAUGCUACAAUGGCCGGUACAAAGGGCUGCGAACCUGUGAGGGGGAGCGAAUCCCAUAAAGCCGGUCUCAGUUCGGAUUGGGGUCUGCAACUCGACCCCAUGAAGUCGGAGUCGCUAGUAAUCGCAGAUCAGCAACGCUGCGGUGAAUACGUUCCCGGGCCUUGUACACACCGCCCGUCACGUCACGAAAGUCGGUAACACCCGAAGCCGGUGGCCCAACCCCUUGGGGAGGGAGCUGUCGAAGGUGGGAUCGGCGAUUGGGACGAAGUCGUAACAAGGUAGCC